rnacentral:rRNA from 1 species
AGCGAACGCUGGCGGCAGGCCUAACACAUGCAAGUCGAACGAACCUUUCGGGGUUAGUGGCGGACGGGUGAGUAACACGUGGGAACGUGCCUUUAGGUUCGGAAUAACUCAGGGAAACUUGUGCUAAUACCGAAUGUGCCCUUCGGGGGAAAGAUUUAUCGCCUUUAGAGCGGCCCGCGUCUGAUUAGCUGGUUGGUUGAGGUAAUGGCUCACCAAGGCGACGAUCAGUAGCUGGUCUGAGAGGAUGAUCAGCCACAUUGGGACUGAGACACGGCCCAAACUCCUACGGGAGGCAGCAGUGGGGAAUCUUGCGCAAUGGGCGAAAGCCUGACGCAGCCAUGCCGCGUGAAUGAUGAAGGUCUUAGGAUUGUAAAAUUCUUUCACCGGGGACGAUAAUGACGGUACCCGGAGAAGAAGCCCCGGCUAACUUCGU